rnacentral:rRNA from 1 species
UAGAGUUUGAUCCUGGCUCAGGACGAACGCUGGCGGCGUGCUUAACACAUGCAAGUCGCACGGGACCCGCAAGGGUUCAGUGGCGAACGGGUGCGUAACACGUGAGGAACCUGUCCAUCGGUGGGGGAUAGCCGGCCCAACGGCCGGGUAAUACCGCGUACGUCCUUCGGGGGGCAUCCCCCGGGGGGGAAAGCAGCAAUGCGCCGAUGGAGGGCCUCGCGGCCUAUCAGCUAGUUGGUGAGGUCAUGGCUCACCAAGGCGACGACGGGUAGCUGGUCUGAGAGGAUGAUCAGCCACAUUGGGACUGAGACACGGCCCAGACUCCUACGGGAGGCAGCAGUGGGGAAUCUUGCGCAAUGGGCGAAAGCCUGACGCAGCGACGCCGCGUGCGGGAUGACGGCCUUCGGGUUGUAAACCGCUGUCGGGAGGGACGAAGCUCUGACGGUACCUCCAAAGGAAGCACCGGCUAACUCUGUGCCAGCAGCCCCGGUCAA